rnacentral:rRNA from 1 species
UGAUCCCCAGCUUGCUGGGGGGAUUAGUGGCGAACGGGUGAGUAACACGUGAGUAACCUGCCCUUGACUCUGGGAUAAGCCUGGGAAACUGGGUCUAAUACUGGAUACGACCUUUCACCGCAUGGUGGGGGGUGGAAAGCUUUUGUGGUUUUGGAUGGACUCGCGGCCUAUCAGCUUGUUGGUGGGGUAAUGGCCUACCAAGGCGACGACGGGUAGCCGGCCUGAGAGGGUGGACGGCCACACUGGGACUGAGACACGGCCCAGACUCCUACGGGAGGCAGCAGUGGGGAAUAUUGCACAAUGGGCGCAAGCCUGAUGCAGCGACGCCGCGUGAGGGAUGAAGGCCUUCGGGUUGUAAACCUCUUUCAGUAGGGAAGAAGCGAAAGUGACGGUACCUGCAGAAGAAGCGCCGGCUAACUACGUGCCAGCAGCCGCGGUAAUACGUAGGGCGCAAGCGUUAUCCGGAAUUAUUGGGCGUAAAGAGCUCGUAGGCGGUUUGUCGCGUCUGCCGUGAAAGUCCGGGGCUUAACUCCGGAUCUGCGGUGGGUACGGGCAGACUUGAGUGAUGUAGGGGAGACUGGAAUUCCUGGUGUAGCGGUGAAAUGCGCAGAUAUCAGGAGGAACACCGAUGGCGAAGGCAGGUCUCUGGGCAUUAACUGACGCUGAGGAGCGAAAGCAUGGGGAGCGAACAGGAUUAGAUACCCUGGUAGUCCAUGCCGUAAACGUUGGGCA